rnacentral:rRNA from 1 species
UCUUGAGAGCGGCGGACGGGUGAGUAAUGCCUAGGAAUCUGCCUGGUAGUGGGGGAUAACGUUCGGAAACGGACGCUAAUACCGCAUACGUCCUACGGGAGAAAGCAGGGGACCUUCGGGCCUUGCGCUAUCAGAUGAGCCUAGGUCGGAUUAGCUAGUUGGUGAGGUAAUGGCUCACCAAGGCGACGAUCCGUAACUGGUCUGAGAGGAUGAUCAGUCACACUGGAACUGAGACACGGUCCAGACUCCUACGGGAGGCAGCAGUGGGGAAUAUUGGACAAUGGGCGAAAGCCUGAUCCAGCCAUGCCGCGUGUGUGAAGAAGGUCUUCGGAUUGUAAAGCACUUUAAGUUGGGAGGAAGGGNAGUUACCUAAUACGUGAUUGUUUUGACGUUACCGACAGAAUAAGCACCGGCUAACUCUGUGCCAGCAGCCGCGGUAAUACAGAGGGUGCAAGCGUUAAUCGGAAUUACUGGGCGUAAAGCGCGCGUAGGUGGUUUGUUAAGUUGGAUGUGAAAUCCCCGGGCUCAACCUGGGAACUGCAUUCAAAACUGACUGACUAGAGUAUGGUAGAGGGUGGUGGAAUUUCCUGUGUAGCGGUGAAAUGCGUAGAUAUAGGAAGGAA